CAGUCGCCGCGGUAAUACGGAGGGUGCAAGCGUUAAUCGGAAUUACUGGGCGUAAAGCGCACGCAGGCGGUCUGACAAGUCAGAUGUGAAAUCCCCGGACUUAACCUGGGAACUGCAUUUGAAACUGUCAGGCUGGAGUCUUGUAGAGGGGGGUGGAAUUCCAGGUGUAGCGGUGAAAUGCGUAGAGAUCUGGAGGAAUACCGGUGGCGAAGGCGGCCCCCUGGACAAAGACUGACGCUCAGGUGCGAAAGCGUGGGGAGCAAACAGGAUUAGAUACCCCUGUAGUCCCUGUCUCUUAUAC
rnacentral:rRNA from 1 species